rnacentral:rRNA from 1 species
GAGUUUGAUCUUGGCUCAGAACGAACGCUGGCGGCAGGCCUAACACAUGCAAGUUGAACGAUGUAGCAAUACAGAGUAGCGCACGGGUGCGUAACGCGUGGGAAUAUGCCCUUCACUACGGAACAACGUUUGGAAACGAACGCUAAUACCGUAUAAUGACUUCGGUCCAAAGAUUUAUCGGUGAAGGAUUAGCCCGCGUCUGAUUAGCUAGUUGGUGAGGUAACGGCUCACCAAGGCGACGAUCAGUAGCUGGUCUGAGAGGAUGAUCAGCCACACUGGGACUGAGACACGGCCCAGACUCCUACGGGAGGCAGCAGUGAGGAAUAUUGGACAAUGGGCGCAAGCCUGAUCCAGCCAUGCCGCGUGAGUGAUGAAGGCCUUAGGGUUGUAAAGCUCUUUUAGCGGAGACGAUAAUGACGGUAUCCGCAGAAAAAAGCCCCGGCCAACUUCGUGCCAGCAGCCGCCGCUGU